rnacentral:rRNA from 1 species
AGGUGAUGGACAACAGGUUGAUAUUCCUGUACUACCGAUAACCGUUUGAGAGAAGGGAGGACACAGUAGGAUAAGCUAAGCACACUGUUGGUUAUGUGUGCCCAAGCAUUGAGGCAGUCAAAGUAGGCAAAUCCGCUUUGAUAAUGCUGGGGUGUGAUGGGGAGCGAAAUUUAGUAGCGAAGUAGCUGAUUUCACACUGUCAAGAAAAGGCUCUAUCGAGGUUAAAGGUACCCGUACCGCAAACCGACACAGGUGGGUGAGGAGAGUAUCCUAAGGCCAGCGAGAGAACUGUUGUUAAGGAACUCGGCAAAAUGACCCCGUAACUUAGGGAUAAGGGGUGCCACCAUCAGGUGGCCGCAGAGAAUAGGCCCAAGCGACUGUUUACCAAAAACAUAGGUUUCUGCUAAGUCGCAAGACGAUGUAUAGGAGCUGACGCCUGCCCGGUGCUGGAA